UACGGAGGGUGCAAGCGUUGUCCGGAUUUAUUGGGUUUAAAGGGUGCGUAGGUGGCGUCUUAAGUCUGGUUUGAAAGCUGGUGGCUCAACCAUCAGAUGUGGCUGGAAACUGGGGCGCUUGAAUGGGUUGGCGGUAGCCGGAACGGGUCAUGUAGCGGUGAAAUGCAUAGAUAUGACCCAGAACGCCGAUUGCGAAGGCAGGCUACUACGACUUGAUUGACACUGAGGCACGAGAGCAUGGGUAGCGAACAGG
rnacentral:rRNA from 1 species